AGCGAACGCUGGCGGCAGGCUUAACACAUGCGAGUCGAGCGGGCAUCCUUGUGGUGUCAGCGGCAGACGGGUGAGUAACGCGUGGGAACGUGCCCUUCGGUUCGGAAUAACUCAGGGAAACUUGAGCUAAUACCGGAUACGUGCGAGAGCAGAAAGGUUUAUCUGCCGAAGGAUCGGCCCGCGUCUGAUUAGCUAGUUGGUGAGGUUAUGGCUCACCAAGGCGACGAUCAGUGGCUGGUCUGAGAGGAUGAUCAGCCACACUGGGACUGAGACACGGCCCAGACUCCUACGGGAGGCAGCAGUGGGGAAUAUUGGACAAUGGGGGCAACCCUGAUCCAGCCAUGCCGGGUGAGUGAUGACGGCCUGAGGGUAGUAAAGCUCUUUUCUCCGGGACGAUAAUGACGGUACCGGAUGAAUAAGCCCCGGCUAACUUCGUG
rnacentral:rRNA from 1 species